rnacentral:rRNA from 1 species
GAACGACAGCACGGUAGUGGGUAACCAGUAUGGGUGGCGAGUGACGGACGGGUGAGUAACGAGUAGGGAUGUGUCUUUAAGAGUGGGACAACGUAGGGACAUUUGGGAUUAUACCACAUAAUACUCUGAGGAGGAAAGUGAGCCUGUGCGUAAUCAAGCACACACUUAAAGGGGAACGUGGGUUGGAUUAGAUAGUUGGUUAGGUGACGGAUGACAAAGUUGAUGAUCUGUAGAUGGUGUGAGAGGACGGCCAGCCACACUGGGACUGAGACACGGCCCAGACUCUUACGGGAGGCAUCAGUGGGGAAUGUUGGACAAUGGGGGCAACCCUGAUCCAGCGAUGCCGCGUGUGUGAAGAAGGCCUGCGGGUUGUAAAGCACUUUAGUUGGGGAGGAAGAUGUUUAGGUGUAUAGUUUAGAUAUUUGACGCUACCUGAAGAAUAAGCACCGGCUAAGUCUGUG